UACGUAUGGACCGAGCGUUGUCCGGAAUCAUUGGGCGUAAAGGGUACGUAGGCGGUCUAGUAAGUUAGAAGUGAAAGGCAUUGGCUCAACUAAUGUAAGCUUUUGAAACUGCUAGACUUGAGAGAUUGAGGGGAAAGUGGAAUUCCUAGUGUAGCGGUGAAAUGCGCAGAUAUUAGGAGGAAUACCAGUGGCGAAGGCGACUUUCUGGAAAUUAAUUGACGCUGAGGGACGAAAGCGUGGGUAGCAAACAGG
rnacentral:rRNA from 1 species